rnacentral:rRNA from 1 species
GACGAACGCUGGCGGCGUGCCUAAUACAUGCAAGUAGGACGCAGUUGCGAACGGGUGCGUAACGCGUAGGUAACUACCUAUCAGCGGGGGAUAACUAAUGGAAACGAUAGCUAAUACCGCAUACUAGUAGAUGGACCUGCGUUGUAUUAGCUAGUAGGUAGGGUAAUGGCCUACCUAGGCAACGAUACAUAGCCGACCUGAGAGGGUUGUCGGCCCCACCUGGACUGAGGAACGGCCCAGACUCCUAAGGGAGGCAGCAGUAGGGAAUCUUCGGCAAUGGGGGGAACCCUGACCGAGCAACGCCGCGUGAGUGAAGAAGGUUUUCGGAACGUAAAGCUCUUUUGUUAAGGAAGCGUUACUUAACCAGAAAGGGACGGCUAACUACGUGCCAGCAGCCGCGGUAAUUC